GUGAUCGCUUCAGCAGCACGUUUACUAAAACUGGAACAAUGCAGAGAGGGUUAGCAUGGCCCCUGCACAAGGAUGACACGCAAAUUUGUGAAGCGUUCCAUAUUAAA
rfam:Erinaceus europaeus unplaced genomic scaffold scaffold00422, whole genome shotgun sequence